UACGGGGGGGGGCAAGCGUUGUUCGGAAUUACUGGGCGUAAAGGGCGCGUAGGCGGCCGCCUAAGUCAGACGUGGAAAUCCCUCAGCUUAACUGGGGAACUGCGUGUGAUACUGGAUGGCUUGGAUUUGGGAGAGGGAUGCGGAAUUCCAGGUGUAGCGGUGAAAUGCGUAGAUAUCGGAGGAACACCGGUGGCGAAGGCGGCAUCCUGGACCAAUAGUUGACG
rnacentral:rRNA from 1 species